rnacentral:rRNA from 1 species
ACGCUCGACACCUACGGGAGCAGCAGUGAGGAAUAUUGGUCAAUGGGCGCUAGCCUGAACCAGCCAAGUAGCGUGAAGGAUGAAGGCUCUAUGGGUCGUAAACUUCUUUUAUAUAAGAAUAAAGUGCAGUAUGUAUACUGUUUUGUAUGUAUUAUAUGAAUAAGGAUCGGCUAACUCCGUGCCAGCACGCCGACGUAUCUGAGGCGGNGNGACGAG